CUCGGCCGGCGCUGACGCAGCCAUGGCGGAGGCGGCUUUGGAAGCCGUGCGGAGCGAGUUACGAGAAUUCCCGGCCGCUGCAAGGGGUGGGAGCUGCCCUGGGGUCAGGUGUGAGCAGUGAUUACUGGCAUCUGGGCAUGGGCUGAGUGUCCAUUCCUCUAGAGCCACAGUGGGCUCCACAGAGGUGAGUGUGGCCGUGACCCCAGAUGGUUACGCGGAUGCCGUGAGAGGGGAUCGCUUCAUGAUGCCAGCUGAGCGCCGCCUGCCCCUGAGCUUCGUGCUGGAUGUGCUGGAGGGCCGGGCCCAGCACCCUGGAGUCCUCUAUGUGCAGAAGCAGUGCUCCAACCUGCCCACCGAGCUGCCCCAGCUGCUGCCUGAUCUGGAAUCCCAUGUGCCCUGGGCCUCCGAAGCCCUGGGAAAGAUGCCUGAUGCUGUGAACUUCUGGCUGGGGGAGGCGGCUGCGGUGACUUCUUUGCACAAGGACCACUAUGAGAACCUCUACUGCGUGGUCUCAGGAGAGAAGCAUUUCCUGUUCCAUCCGCCCAGCGACCGGCCCUUCAUCCCCUAUGAGCUGUACACGCCGGCAACCUACCAGCUAACUGAAGAGGGCACCUUUAAGGUGGUGGAUGAAGAGGCCAUGGAGAAGGUGCCCUGGAUCCCACUGGACCCCUUGGCGCCAGACCUAGCACGGUACCCUAGUUACAGUCAGGCCCAGGCCCUUCGCUGCACGGUGCGGGCCGGUGAGAUGCUCUAUCUGCCGGCUCUGUGGUUCCACCAUGUCCAGCAGUCCCAGGGCUGCAUCGCAGGCAGAGGUGUCCAGGACCUGCCUGCUCACGGUUCGUGUCCUGCAGGCCCAUCGCCUACCCUCUGAGGACCUAGUGACCCCCUCUGACUGCUACGUGACUCUCUGGCUGCCCACGGCCUGCAGCCACAGGCUCCAGACACGCACGGUCAAGAACAGCAGUAGCCCUGUCUGGAACCAGAGCUUUCACUUCAGGAUCCACAGGCAGCUCAAGCCCUGUCACUCUUUUCCCCUCCAGAAUGUCAUGGAACUGAAAGUCUUUGACCAGGACCUGGUGACCGGAGAUGACCCUGUGUUGUCAGUACUGUUUGAUGCGGGGACUCUGCGGGCUGGGGAGUUCCGGCGCGAGAGCUUCUCACUGAGCCCUCAGGGUGAGGGGCGCCUGGAAGUUGAAUUUCGCCUGCAGAGUCUGGCUGACCGUGGCGAGUGGCUCGUCAGCAAUGGCGUUCUGGUGGCCCGGGAGCUCUCCUGCUUGCACGUUCAACUGGAGGAGACAGGAGACCAGAAGUCCUCAGAGCACAGAGUUCAGCUUGUGGUUUCUGGGUCCUGUGAGGGUCCGCAGGAGGCCUCUGUGGGCACUGGCACCUUCCGCUUCCACUGCCCAGCCUGCUGGGAGCAGGAGCUGAGUAUUCACCUGCAGGAUGCCCCCGAGGAGCAACUAAAGGUGCCACUGAGUGCCCUGCCCUCUGGUCAAGUGGUGAGGCUUGUCUUCCCCACGUCCCAGGAGCCCCUGAUGAGAGUGGAGCUGAAAAAAGAAGCAGGACUGAGGGAGCUGGCCGUGCGACUGGGCUUCGCGCCCUGUGCAGAGGAGCAGGCCUUCCUGAGCAGGAGGAAGCAGGUGGUGGCCGCAGCCUUGAGGCAGGCCCUGCAGCUGGACGGAGACCUGCAGGAGGAUGAGAUCCCAGUGGUAGCUAUUAUGGCCACUGGUGGUGGGAUCCGGGCAAUGACUUCCCUGUAUGGGCAGCUGGCUGGCCUGAAGGAGCUGGGCCUUUUGGAUUGCGUCUCCUACAUCACCGGGGCCUCGGGCUCCACCUGGGCCUUGGCCAACCUUUAUGAGGACCCAGAGUGGUCUCAGAAGGACCUGGCAGGGCCCACUGAGUUGCUGAAGACCCAGGUGACCAAGAACAAGCUGGGUGUGCUGGCCCCCAGCCAGCUGCAGCGGUACCGGCAGGAGCUGGCCGAGCGUGCCCGCUUGGGCUACCCAAGCUGCUUCACCAACCUGUGGGCCCUCAUCAACGAGGCGCUGCUGCAUGAUGAGCCCCAUGAUCACAAGCUCUCAGAUCAACGGGAGGCCCUGAGUCAUGGCCAGAACCCUCUGCCCAUCUACUGUGCCCUCAACACCAAAGGGCAGAGCCUGACCACUUUUGAAUUUGGGGAGUGGUGCGAGUUCUCUCCCUACGAGGUCGGCUUCCCCAAGUAUGGGGCCUUCAUCCCCUCUGAGCUCUUUGGCUCCGAGUUCUUUAUGGGGCAGCUGAUGAAGAGGCUUCCUGAGUCCCGCAUCUGCUUCUUAGAAGGUAUCUGGAGCAACCUGUAUGCAGCCAACCUCCAGGACAGCUUAUACUGGGCCUCAGAGCCCAGCCAGUUCUGGGACCGCUGGGUCAGGAACCACGCCAACCUGGACAAGGAGCAGGUCCCCCUUCUGAAGAUAGAAGAACCACCCUCAACAGCCGGCAGGAUAGCUGAGUUUUUCACCGAUCUUCUGACGUGGCGUCCACUGGCCCAGGCCACACAUAAUUUCCUGCGUGGCCUCCAUUUCCACAAAGACUACUUUCAGCAUCCUCACUUCUCCACAUGGAAAGCUACCACUCUGGAUGGGCUCCCCAACCAGCUGACACCCUCGGAGCCCCACCUGUGCCUGCUGGAUGUUGGCUACCUCAUCAAUACCAGCUGCCUGCCCCUCCUGCAGCCCACUCGGGACGUGGACCUCAUCCUGUCAUUGGACUACAACCUCCACGGAGCCUUCCAGGAGCUGUGAUUGGGACACUGGAAUCUUAAUUUGCCACCAGAGGAGCUCAUUCUUUUCCGGAAGUUGGGAAGCUGGCGAGGUUCUCCUGCAGUUGCAGCUCCUGGGCCGGUUCUGCCAGGAGCAGGGGAUCCCGUUCCCACCCAUCUCGCCCAGCCCCGAAGAGCAGCUCCAGCCUCGGGAGUGCCACACCUUCUCCGACCCCACCUGCCCCGGAGCCCCUGCGGUGCUGCACUUUCCUCUGGUCAGCGACUCCUUCCGGGAGUACUCGGCCCCGGGGGUCCGGCGGACACCCGAGGAGGCGGCAGCUGGGGAGGUGAACCUGUCUUCAUCGGACUCUCCCUACCACUACACGAAGGUGACCUACAGCCAGGAGGACGUGGACAAGCUGCUGCACCUGACACAUUACAAUGUCUGCAACAACCAAGAGCAGCUGCUGGAGGCUCUGCGCCAGGCAGUGCAGCGGAGGCGGCAGCGCAGGCCCCACUGAUGGCCGGGGCCCCUGCCAUCCCUAACUCUCAUUCAUUCCCUGGCUGCUGAGUUGCAGGUGGGAACUGUCAUCACGCAGUGCUUCAGAGCCUCGGGCUCAGGUGGCACUGUCCCAGGGUCCAGGCUGAGGGCUGGGCGCUCCCUUGCGCCUUAGCAGUUUGCAGUGGGGUAAGGAGGCCAAGCCCAUUUGUGUAAUCACCCAAAACCCCCCGGCCUGUGCCUGUUUUCCCUUCUGCGCUACCUUGAGUAGUUGGAGCACUUGGAUACAUUACAGACUCAUACAAAUGUGA